rnacentral:lncRNA from 1 species
CUAUGGUAAUUGCUCUGAAGUUAUCAAAGGAUCUGAAUAACACUUCUCUUAAAGAACUAUUUAGGUCUUUAAGAAAUAAUGAGAUUGAGCUCAGGAAAGAUGAGCCUAAGAGAAAGACAAAAUUUGUUGCUCUAAAGUAUUCAGGAAGACCUGAGAAGAAAAAACCUCUUCAAGCAAAAACAUAUGAAGAGUCUGAAAAGGAAUAAGAAAAAGAAGAUGAAUUGUCUCUUUUGUCCAGACAUGUAAAUCAACUCUAGA